rnacentral:rRNA from 1 species
AGCGAACGCUGGCGGCAGGCCUAACACAUGCAAGUCGAGCGCCGUAGCAAUACGGAGCGGCAGACGGGAGAGUAACACGUGGGAACGUGCCCUUUGGUUCGGAACAACCCAGGGAAACUUGGGCUAAUACCGGAUAAGCCCUUACGGGGAAAGAUUUAUCGCCGAAGGAUCGGCCCGCGUCUGAUUGGCUAGGUGGCGGGGUAAUGGCCCACCAAGGCGACGGUCAGUAGCUGGUCUGAGAGGAUGAUCAGCCACACUGGGACUGGGACACGGCCAGUACGCCUACGGGGGGCGGCAGGUGGAAUAUUGGACAAUGGGCGCAAGCCUGAUCCAGCCACGCCGCGUGGGUGAUGAAGGCCCUAGUGUUGUAAAGCCCUUUCGGCGGGGAAGAUAAUGACGGUACCCGCAGAAGAAGCCCCGGCUAACUUCGUGCCAGCCGCCGCCGUAACAC